rnacentral:rRNA from 1 species
CCUACGGGAGGCUGCAGUGAGGAAUCUUGGUCAAUGGACGCAAGUCUGAACCAGCCAUGCCGCGUGCAGGAAGACGGCUCUAUGAGUUGUAAACUGCUUUUGUACGAAGGUAAACGCAGAUACGCGUAUCUGUCUGAAAUGAUCGUACGAAUCAAGAUAGGCUAACUCCGUUCCAGCAGCCGCGGUAAUACGAAGGAUUCAAGCGUUAUCCGGAUUUAUUGGGUUUAAAGUGUGCGUAGGCGGUUGGAUAAGUUAGAGGUGAAAUCCCGAGGCUCAACUUCGGAAUUGCCUUUGAUACUGGUCGGCUUGAGAGUAGUUGCGGUAGGCGGAAUGUAUUGUGUAGCGGUGAAAUGCUUAGAGAUCAUACAGAACACCGAUUGCGAAGGCAGCUUACCAAGCUACUUCUGACGUUGAGGCACGAAAGCGUGGGGAGCAAACAGGAUUAGAUACCCGAGUAGUC